AGCCGGAUGCCGCCGAGUCGCUCACCGCAGCGAGCCGGGGACCCACCGCAGCACUGGGGUGAAUCCUGACCUGGGCACGUGCCCGGGUCGGGUAGGGCUUCUUCCCGCCCGAACCCGUCAGCUAACUCGGUAGGCGGCCACGGAAGACCAC
rnacentral:sRNA from 2 species